rnacentral:lncRNA from 1 species
CUCAGGUCUGCUGCCAGAUCCCUCUGACUCUACCCAAGUUCAUGGUUGCAUUGAGAGCUAUGGAGGUCACCAAAUAACCAGACUUGAGGGUCCAACUCCUGUGAGCCUGGUCUCCACAGAGCACAUGGUCCACAUUGAGGCUCACUGAGUAAGGCCUUGUCACAAGCUGCAAGUGGAGGUGCUUCCGGAACUCAAAGCCGAGGCAGGCAGCAUAUGGCGG